rnacentral:rRNA from 1 species
CCUACGGGUGGCAGCAGUCGAGAAUUUUUCUCAAUGGGGGAAACCCUGAAGGAGCGACGCCGCGUGGAGGAUGAAGGUCUUCGGAUUGUAAACUCCUGUCAUUUGGGAACUAGUACCAGAAGAGGAAGAGACGGCUAACUCUGUGCCAGCAGCCGCGGUAAUACAGAGGUCUCAAGCGUUGUUCGGAUUCAUUGGGCGUAAAGGGAGCGUAGGUGGCGGGGUUAGUCAGGUGUGAAAUCUCGGGGCUCAACCCCGAAACUGCACUUGAUACUGCCUUGCUAGAGUACUGGAGAGGAGAUUGGAAUUUACGGUGUAGCAGUGAAAUGCGUAGAUAUCGUAAGGAAGACCAGUGGCGAAGGCGAAUCUCUGGACAGUACUGACACUGAGGCUCGAAGGCCAGGGGAGCAAACGGGAUUAGAUACCCUUGUAGUC